AAGUCGUAACAAGGUUUCCGUAGGUGAACCUGCGGAAGGAUCAUUAACACGUAUCCAAACGUUAAACCCCCCUGUGAACCUUCAGUCGUACUCGUACGUCCGUUAGAAAUCAUCGCCGAACAGUUUUCGAUUCAGUCUGCAAGGAGCGUGCAUGUUGUGCGUGUAAGUGGCCUGGCAUCCCCAAGCAGUUAGUGUCUGAAAGUGUCACUAACGUUAGUGUCUGAAAGUGUCACUAACAUGUGUAAGGAUGACGCAGUCACGAUCGUUGGAGGCCCACACGGCCGACGACCGGGUCACUGGGUGCAAGCCCCCUUAUCACACCCCUGCUCUAUCUAUGGUGAUCCUGCGGGAAGUCCUGCGGUCGAACGCCGAAACCGAACAACUGUUAACAAUGGAUAUCUUGGUUCUC
rnacentral:misc_RNA from 1 species